AACGUACGCUGGCGGCACGCCUAACACAUGCAAGUCGAACGAAGUAGCAAUACUUAGUGGCAGACGGGUGAGUAACAUGUAGGUAUCUGCCCUUUGGCCUGGAAUAACACGAGGAAACUUGUGCUAAUACCGGAUAAGUCUUUACGGAGAAAGCUUUAUGCACCAUUGGAUGAGCCUGCACUUGAUUAGUUUGUUGGUGGGGUAAUGGCCUACCAAGACUGUGAUCAAUAGCUGAUUUGAGAGGAUGAUCAGCCACAUUGGGACUGAGACACGGCCCAAACUCCUACGGGAGGCAGCAGUGGGGAAUCUUGCACAAUGGAGGAAACUCUGAUGCAGCGAUGCCGCGUGAGUGAAGAAGGCCCUUGGGUUGUAAAGCUCUUUCGUCGGGGAAGAAAAUGACUGUACCCGAAUAAGAAGGUCCGGCUAACUUCGUGCCAGCAGCCGCGGUAAUACGAAGGGACCUAGCGUAGUUCGGAAUUACUGGGCUUAAAGAGUUCGUAGGUGGUUGAAAUAGUUGGUGGUGAAAUCCCAGAGCUUAACUCUGGAACUGCCAUCAAAACUUUUCAGCUAGAGUAUGAUAGAGGAAAGCAGAAUUUCUAGUGUAGAGGUGAAAUUCGUAGAUAUUAGAAAGAAUACCAAUUGCGAAGGCAGCUUUCUGGAUCAUUACUGACACUGA
rnacentral:rRNA from 1 species